AGAUUUCAUCAUUGAGAACAGAAGAUGUAGACCAUGGAAGCCUGAGAAUUUACAUCCCAAAUUAUCACAUAUUUUGAGAUGCAGUUUGGUAGAAAGAGAGUCCCCAAAGCAGGGACUCAUUUGCUGAAAAAUGAGCCUGAAUAGAAAAGGCAGCCCAAGGUGACCCAGCCACGUCCUGCUGCAGAGGAGAGCAGAGAUGCCAGCUCAGAGAAGGUGGCAAGAGAGAAAGACAAGACAUAUUUUCUGUCAUCCAAUUGAGAGCAACCCCAGCAACUUGAAGGAUUAGAUAAAAUAAGCAAAAAAGUUGGGACCAAUUUUGGGAAAGACAGAUUUAAUUGAGGUAAAUCCCACCCAACAUGAAACCCAAACUCACCCUUGUGACGUCCCGCUCCAUUCUCCUCUGUCUGUCUGUGGGGUCACCCAGUCCUGUUAAUGCAUGGC